GCAAAACAACUGGCAUUUGUUAUAUAAGCACUUUUAUAUUCCUUGCCAGCUCAGCUGAACUUGUUUGCAAUAUGCUGAGUAGGCGUUUGCAUGACAGUUGUCAUCUCAGCAUCCUUUUCUCCCUGUUGCUAAUGCAACAGACUCCUUGAUGUCCAGCUAGUCUCUGAGAUCAUUAGUUCAUUAUCAUAAUCAGUGGAAAUGCAGUCUGGUCUCAUUGGCUAGCUUCCUCCCUUAUGGGGAUGUGGUACACUAUUUUGCAAAAACAGAUCUUCCACUUUACACCAGCUAUGCAAAUAGUAGUGUUUCUGUAGCACUCACGAUAACAAACUGUGCUGCAAUAAAAACUUUGCUAAUAUCCUGAAAUCUUCUUCUAUUGAAGUAAGUCUCUGAUGGCAAAGGAUGUUAUUAGAGGCAUCAUACAAUUUUAUAAUUUCACGCAAUUUAGUGUUGCAGGUUUACUUUUGCUCCAGCAAUUAGCACAGUAUCUUGUACUUACUAGUAUCUUGUACUACCAAGAGCCUUCACUCUUACCUUAGCUGUAGUAAUGCUUCCAGCUCUUUGUCUCCCAUCUAUGAAAUACUGUAGAAGUAGAUAUAUCUCUUAACUGAAGAGCUUACAAAUUAGAAAGGUAUAUUUUAGUUCAAACAGUACUUCUCAGGAUUGAUCUUACUUCAGAGCUUACUUAACCUCUAACACUAAGACAAAUGGAAAUUCACUACUAACUCACAAUGUAUAUUUCAAUAGCUAGUGUUCCCUCACAUUUAAAUGAAUGGUUUAAAUGAAUUGAGAUGGAUUAAGUAUGAAAGGCCAACAGCUAUGUAUGAAAAUGUACUCUGUUAGUAUUCUGCUUCUAAAUAGGAAGUACCUUUUCCAAAAUGAGAACAGGAUGUGCAUGCCAGUUGCAUAUGCAACCUAAAAUUUUAUAUUCUCCCUAAUUGCUAGUAUACUGAAUGACUGCCAUACAUACAAAUGAACACUUAACCCAUUUUCAUAGCUCAUUUGCUUUUAUAAGUAUUCUUAAAGGGCACUGCCCUGAAAAUUCUAUCUCUGAGAAGUUGCAGAAGUGACACCCUGUUACCACUCUUAAAUGAGGAAUAAAUGUCAUUUCUAGAGUGUUAAUUACCAGUGAGGACACUGUCUAAGAAACCUGGGAGGACGCUGUUAAUUCUUUACAUCAGCCAGGCAAAACUUGAGCACUGUCAAAGGAAUCUUCUCCAGUUGUAACAAGGAACUGAAACCUGGGCUCCUCAACUGAGAGUGCUCUUUGCUUGCUUUAGAACAAGAAGGAACCCACUGUAAGUGGACGUGAGUUCUUCUGAUAACAUAAUUUUUAGAAAUUUUCCAAGUGAAAGUUCACAAAGCCAUAAAAUUUUACUGCCUCAUGCAACAAGCAGCAGCCCUCUCUUUCCAAUGUAUAGCUUUUAAUUGGUUUAAGAGACUGUCAUCCUAUGCCUGCAACAAAUAGGCUUGAUUGUCUGUGACACUCAAUGGUUCAUCCGGAGUAAUAACUUGACACCUGAACUCUAUUUCCACAAAUUCACAAGCAAUGUAGUAAACUGGUAGUGUUUUUUCUUUUGAGUAUCCCCAAUGUGACAAGACAAAAUGCAUUAGGAAACAUCCAUUCUCCUUCUAAGAGUAAUCUAUCCUUACUGGACAUGGGGAGCAACUUCAAGGUUCACUCAUGACUCAGUUUUGAUGGCUUUUUUAUGUAAUGAAAAAACUGUACACAGCUAUUAUAAAAUAAUCUAGAAUUGUUUUUAUUUUACAUAUUUUCCCCUCAUAUUAUUUUAAUGUGUAUCUGAACAUUAAAGUUUAUAAUACUUAAAAAUAAUAAUUUCAAAGAACAAAACUUUUAAGUUUUGGAAAUGAGAUUAAGGCUUCACUAAAAACUGAUGUAUAUGCCCUUUGUACUUUCAAAUAUACUUGUGAAUAAGAAAGAAUACUCUGCUUUAUGAAGCUAAUUUUGGAAUGAUACCUUAGCAAAGGAAUGACUUACGCACUUCAUCUCAAUUAAGAUGCUUUACACUGAAUGGUACUUUUCAUUGGCAUAUGAAAGUAUUUAUCUAAAAUCAAAGAUGCUUAUUGCCCCCAGGACACUUGAUUAUAGUCUGAAAUCUUUGUGGAGUUCCUUAGUUUGUAUGAUUUCCCUUCUGAAAUGGAAAUUUUCCCCUCGCUGUGGUAUACUUAUGAUAUAAUCUACACUCAGCAGCAAUGAAACUUGAUGACUGGCACUCUACAAACAGCUUGCUAUUUCAGUUAAUGAAAUAGAUUUCCUGACACACUUCAGUUGCAGCUUAGUUUAAGAAAUCACUGUUCUGUAGGGUAUGCUGGAACAAAGUGAUUCUGUAGAAAGCUGGAUGUUCUCGCAUUAUGUUUCUGAUUCUCUCUCAGUGUAAAGCUCAUGCUUUUGGCUCCACCAUGGAGCUACCAAUUGUAACUGCAACUGCACUGUUGACACUCAUCAUACUACUUGAAUCUUAAACUUAAAUGUCUUUAUAUUCCUAUGUCUACCCUACGUAUUUGUAGUAUAACUUCAGACGGUCAUAAGACAUUUUAAAAGCAUAUGAUAUGAAAGAGUAGAAAGAUUGCUAAGCUAUCAAAAGUAAAGUUUGCAAGUUAAUGCAUUUUUGAGACUUUAUUUAAAAAUACAAACAUGAUUAAAAAAAAUCUUUUAAAUUCUCAGUGAAAAGGUUGUUUUACAACUCUAACCUCAUCAUCAUUUUCCUAUGCUUAUGAACUUCUGGUAGUCAUAAAAAUGGGUUUUCUUACUGAACCAUCUCAGUAUGUAUAUCCAAACUGCAGAAUUUCGGUUUGCUUUGGUGAAGCUUUUUGUUGUUUCCAUCUUGAAAGCUGUUAUAUACCAUUUAUUUCAUGUUUCAUACUGUGUCAAUUCCACAUUAGCCUCAGCUUUUAAAUUCUACUGUUGUCUUCCACAAAGGGGCUACCUCCUUCCUUCCGAAAGAAAAAUAUCUUUAAAAAAGUAACCUCAAUGCAGUUUGAAAUACAACUAAAUGGUUGCAUAUACUGACGUCACAUAUUACUUAUCUCCUAGUAUUCCCUCAAAUAAGGACAUAGCAUGGUUCACAUUGUUAGGUUCACUGUAUUUUAGACACAGGUAGCUGGAAUGGCAGUUAUUGGUUUUAGGACAUGCUUUGUGUUUAUUGGAAAGAUUCAUCAGUCCUUCUAUCUGAUACAGAUUGAUGAGUGUGGACUAAUCAAGAAGGAUUACUAGCCAAGACAGCCUAGGGUCACCAGAUUUUGAAACAGAUUCUUCAGCUCCAAAAUAUUGGCAAGUCAUACGAGUCACUUUAUGAAUUUCAACUUUUUAGAAUUUUUAGCAAUGUGACUGUGCCAUAUUAAUAAAAUAAAUGUGUCUAAUUCCACCUUACUUCAGCCACCCUCUUUCCAAAAUAGGCUGAUAGGUAAUUUUCUGAAACUUACUGGUAAGUAACAUUUUACUGAACUCCAGUGGAGCUUUGGCCAGGCAAAACACCUGACAUUCCAGUCAUGAAAAAAAUCAGUAUCUGAGACCUUGUUAAGCCAGGAACUUUAUGGGGUGUUUUCCCACCAAAAGUAGAAUUUUCAUAUGUUUGAAUUUACUGUGAUGUAUACUGAGGAACACUUUUCAACUUAUCAUCAAUGUCCUUAUACAGUGACACUGACCAAAACUACUCAGGUUGUGUACACAGCUUUCUUGCUUCAAAAAUAAACAAAUGAACAGACAAAAAAAUCUUAAAACCUAUUUUAUCUUCUGAUUUUGGACCUUUGUUCUGAAUCAGCUGGAGAAGAAAUAGUAGGCUGGUGUGACUCAUUACAUAGUGGGUGACCCAAUACGUAGAAGCAGCUUUAUUUCUUCCCUUAAAAGGCACUCUCACCCUACUCCAGCUUGGUUUCAAUAGGGUUUCCGUUGGGCAGAAACUAUAUUUCUUUUCUGUGCUAUGCCUGCUUCAUCUUCUGUUCUUUUUGUUCAGUAGCUGAUUUGUCAAAGUGACUAAGCCAUCAGCAUUUUGAAUUGUAAGCAUUUUCAAAAGGAUCCGGUUUUUAAAUACUUAUACUUAAAAGAAGUAAACAGUUGGGAAACUAGGUAAGACAAUGCUCCUGGUUCUUGAGCAGAAGGGCAAUACAGAAUUUUGAGAGUUUCAAACAGAGAUAGGAGUAGCAUUAGUCAAAGAGUUUCAACAAAUCAGCCAAGCCCCUCAGGCUAGAAGGGACCAUUUGAUGGAUUAAGCAAGGUCUCUGCUGCUGCGCACAGCCACAAUGCAUUUUCCUAAUUGUAAAGUUAGAAAAAUCCCUUUUAAAAAAUUAAGUUGUUUUCCUCUAAGACUUGGUGAAAUUUUAGUUUACUCGCCAAAAUUUCAUUCCCAGUUUUCAUGAUUUUUUUUUUCUGGACAUUUUUUACAUGAUCUUAUCUUACACUAUACUAAACUCAGUUUCACUUUUAUUAUUCUAGCCUUUAAGGUAUUCUAUCCUUUCCUGCAUAACAUUCUAAACUUCUCCUUUAUUGCUCAUGACUCUCAAAAUGUCAUUUGCAUAUACCUCUUUUUGUACCAAGAUCUAACAUAAUAUUCAGCAGCAUUUUUCCCAAAGACUGAUGCUUGACCAGCCUCUACAAGAGCUGAAUUUUACACAGUGAAGAUAGAUCUAUUAAAAAAAAAAGGAAUAUAUAUCUAAAUUAUAAUCUGAAAUAGUGCAUAUCCCCUGAGGACAAAAGUAUAUUUCUCAGUCAAUUUGAUUGAAUACAGUCAGAAGUUCAAGAAUUGAGCUGAAGGGAAAACAAAAUACCAAAUCACUCAUGCCAAUAAUAAAAAGUGCUUCUAAAUACAGGUCUAUAUGCAGAUAGCUUCCCUUUCCUUUCAUAAAAACAUUUAAUGUGGGAUAUGGGUGUAAUUUUUUUCCCUGUAAAGAACCUCAAGAGACCAGAGGAAGUUUUCAGAUCAAAAUCUGAAUUAGCUUGUGCUAGGAAUAAAGUUUUAACCAACACCAGGCUGACCAAUAACUGAUGCAGUGCUGCGCUAUUAAUCACAAAAGCUAGGUAAGCUUGGGUAAAGCACUUUCCUUGCGUGGAAAUUUUUUCCCAUUGUCUUCUGCACUAACAAAAUAAACUUAUUACCAAACAGGUAGGUGCAGUUUUUCUGAAGAUUAGGUAGUAUAGAUGUGCUUCUAUAGCUAUAUUUAUGCAAUUAUGUUUGUUAAACCUACCAUGAAAAGCUCUCAUAGCAGUAAAAGCACAUUUUCUACAUGCUCCCUGUGAGCAUCUCCUCCAAAACAUGCCUCUCUGCUAUGAUUUUUGAAUACUUUCCAUAACAUGUUCAAACAACUGGGCUUAUGUAGCUUUUUAAGUUCAGAUGCAUAAACGUGGUCAACAACUGUGUAUUAAUUGUUGGAACCCAGAUACAUAAGAAUCUUUCUUGUAAAAGCAUGGGGUAUUGAUUACGAAACAGAUGUGUGUGAAAACAGGUCCUUAGUUGCAGUGGCCUAGGUCAGAAUUACAUGGUAACAGCUAUACGGAAGUUUGUUGUCACACACAACAGUUCCGUCUUCACUCAAACCCUGACAUAAGCAGGGCUCAGAAAACUCUAAACACUGAGGGUUUUUUUCCCCUUUUUUCAUCAACAAAAUUUGAGCCUCUCUGCAAGAUAUAAGAGUAUGUGUCAUUGUUAUUCAUGGAAACUGUCAGGCUUUUUAACUCUACUGAGAAACAAGAAGAGUGAAUGACAGAUGGGGCCCGCUCUCUUGGCAAGGAAGUUCUCUGCUAGCAGAACGCCAUAGUAUGAGACCUGAAAGAAAAAAGAGAUGACAAUUUAACUUGUUCUUAUACAUAAACAUCAUCUGAAAAGAGGCAUUUCAUUGUGAAGUAGCCUGAUUUGUCAUAUUAACUUCUAUGUAUAUAGGCUGAUACUGUCUUCAGUCUUAGAUGCCAAAUGGUCUUAAAAAGCUUGAAACAUAUAUAUUAAAUGUAAUACCAAUAAUGUAAGCUGCUUUUGUGGCUUCCCAAAGGCUGGAAAGCAUUUAACUCAAGCGUGAAAGCUGGAGAAGAUGAGCUUGAAGAUUUUAUAAGAAACUUCAAAAUUCCUACCUAUUGCUGAGGUGUUCAAGCUGCAGUGACUCUUUAUCUUACAAGUCCUACUACAGUGGAAUAUCCUAUGAGCUUGAAUGAAGACUAAGACUGAAAAGAGAGCUUGUGAUGUCUGAAUUGCAAUAGGUGAAAAAAUCUUCUGUUUCAUAUGAUGGCUGUUUGAAAACACAAAAAAACAACUUCCAUGGGAAAUACUAAAUAUCUGGUUAGUAAGGCUGUAGAUCAACCUGACAGUAGCUAUUGGUUAUAAAGAUACUGGUAAGCAUUUUUUCUGAGUGGCAUUCUAGUCCUUUAUGUUCUACAUUGGCUUAUCUCUGCUCUUCAACAUUUGCAUGUAAAGUGCCAAAAAUGUUAAUAAAUAAAAUAAAAAAGCAGAAAAAAAUUACUAACAUCCCCUACAAAAAUAUACUUUCCAAUAUAAAGUA